rnacentral:rRNA from 1 species
GACGAACGCUGGCGGCGUGCUUAACACAUGCAAGUCGAACGGAAAGGCCCUGCUUUUGUGGGGUGCUCGAGUGGCGAACGGGUGAGUAACACGUGAGUAACCUGCCCUUGACUUUGGGAUAACUUCAGGAAACUGGGGCUAAUACCGGAUAGGAGCUCCUGCUGCAUGGUGGGGGUUGGAAAGUUUCGGCGGUUGGGGAUGGACUCGCGGCUUAUCAGCUUGUUGGUGGGGUAGUGGCUUACCAAGGCUUUGACGGGUAGCCGGCCUGAGAGGGUGACCGGCCACAUUGGGACUGAGAUACGGCCCAGACUCCUACGGGAGGCAGCAGUGGGGAAUAUUGCACAAUGGGCGGAAGCCUGAUGCAGCAACGCCGCGUGCGGGAUGACGGCCUUCGGGUUGUAAACCGCUUUCGCCUGUGACGAAGCGUGAGUGACGGUAAUGGGUAAAGAAGCACCGGCUAACUACGUGCCAGCAGCCGCGGUGAUACGUAGGGCGCGAGCGUUGUCCGGAUUUAUUGGGCGUAAAGGGCUCGUGGGUGGUCGAUCGCGUCGGAAGUGUAAUCUUGGGGCUUAACCCUGAGCGUGCUUUCGAUACGGGUUGACUUGAGGAAGGUAGGGGAGAAUGGAAUUCCUGGUGGAGCGGUGGAAUGCGCAGAUAUCAGGAGGAACACCAGUGGCGAAGGCGGUUCUCUGGGCCUUUCCUGACGCUGAGGAGCGAAAGCGUGGGGAGCGAACAGGCUUAGAUACCCUGGUAGUCCACGCUGUAAACGGUGGGUACUAGGUGUGGGGUCCAUUCCACGGGUUCCGUGCCGUAGCUAACGCUUUAAGUACCCCGCCUGGGGAGUACGGCCGCAAGGCUAAAACUCAAAGGAAUUGACGGGGCCCCGCACAAGCGGCGGAGCAUGCGGAUUAAUUCGAUGCAACGCGUAGAACCUUACCUGGGUUUGACAUGGAUCGGGAGCGCUCAGAGAUGGGUGUGCCUCUUUUGGGGUCGGUUCACAGGUGGUGCAUGGCUGUCGUCAGCUCGUGUCGUGAGAUGUUGGGUUAAGUCCCGCAACGAGCGCAACCCUUGUUCACUGUUGCCAGCACGUUAUGGUGGGGACUCAGUGGAGACCGCCGGGGUCAACUCGGAGGAAGGUGGGGAUGACGUCAAGUCAUCAUGCCCCUUAUGUCCAGGGCUUCACGCAUGCUACAAUGGCUGGUACAGAGAGUGGCGAGCCUGUGAGGGUGAGCGAAUCUCGGAAAGCCGGUCUCAGUUCGGAUUGGGGUCUGCAACUCGACCUCAUGAAGUCGGAGUCGCUAGUAAUCGCAGAUCAGCAACGCUGCGGUGAAUACGUUCCCGGGGCU